GACGAACGCUGGCGGCGCGCUUAACACAUGCAAGUCGAGCGAAGCGGCGGACGGGUGAGUAACACGUGAGUAACCUGCCUUAGACAUUGGGAUAGCCUCGGGAAACCGCGAUUAAUACCCUCUGGUAGAAGAUGGCCUCAUGACCCAUUAGCUAGUUGGUGAUUAAAAGCUCACCAAGGCGACGAUGGGUAGCCGGGUUGGGAGAGUGAACGGCGACAUUGGAGCGGAGACACGGUCCAGACUCUACGGGAGGCAGCAGUGGGGAAUAUGGCACAAUGGGGGAAACCCUGAUGCAGCGACGUCGGGUGAGCGAAGACGGCCUUCGGGUCGUAAAGCUCUGUCCUAUGGGAAGCGGUACCAUAGAAGGAAGCCCCGGCUAACUACGUGCCAGCAGCCGCGGUAAUAC
rnacentral:rRNA from 1 species